UAGAAUGAGAGAUAAAGAUCACUGUAAAAACAUUAGAAAGAUCACAGUUUUGAUGAAAACGUGAUAAAGAGAUGCGAGGUGAAUUUUUAAUGUCACUUUGCUAAUAAAACCGUGAUAAUUAAUAUUUAUUAUCACAGUUUUAAUAGAACCGUGAUUAUAACUUUUUAAUUUAACCACAUUUUGCUACAAGCAUAAUAAAAAUGUGUCUAUUUAACCACAUUUUUCUAUAAGCGUGAUAAAAUGUGUCUAUUGUAAUCACGGUUCGUUACAACCAUUAUAGAAAUGUGUCUAUUUUAAAACACACUUUCUUAUAAGCGUGAUAAAAUGGGUCUAUUUGAACCACACUUCGUUGCAACCGUGAUAAAAUCUUUCUUGUUUGAUAUAACUACAUUUUUUAAAAGGGUGAUUAAAUGUAUUUGCUUAUUUUUAUACGCUUUCAUUUACAAGCGUGAUAAAUACUUCAUGGGCCCCAACAAGAAACCAAAUUUGAAUCCAUAAAAAUUUGAAAUUAUUUGGGUUUUACUUUCCCCCCAAAACAGUCAGUCGCCUCUUUUUUAGGUAAAUAUGGUUGCCCUCUUUCUUCUUGGCCUCCAUACCAUAGAUCUUACACCCCUCUCUCUCUCAACUUUCAGGAAAACUGAUGUCGCUCAUGGCGCAAUUCUGACCACGACCCUUCGACCUCCAAUCGGGCACAACCAUAGGCUGAUCUCCACCUGGUCAUCGGUAAAUCGUUUAAUUUCAGUCUCUAUCUUUUUUUUGCUCGGCAAUUUCGGUCUCUAUAUAUCACCAUCUCCUUACGGCUUGCAAAUUGAUUUUGUUUCCUCUUAGAAUCAUAAUCUUGGUCUAGGAUCGAAGGGCCUUUUACUCCCAAUUUAAAUACUCUUUGUUCCCUUUGAAUUGGCAGCGUAAGAGGUGGAGACCUUUAUUAACUAAGCAUGUACGUAGAAGGAUGAAGGAGUACGUACGUACACUUGUGACAUGCCAGGCGAUGCAAACUUUCUGGGUUGAAGAAGAAGUUGCUUGAGUUGUUAUAAAUUUUUUUUUUUUAGUUAUGUUCUUAUAGCUUUUUAGUUUUGUUUUAGACGCGGGUUAUUGUACUAGUUGAUAUAUAUUGUAAAUGUACCAUACUUUGAAAGAUUGAUGAGUUAAUUAAUAAACCUUUUCCUUUUUGCA